rnacentral:ncRNA from 1 species
UGAGUAACGCAAACAUUGGUGAGAAUCUAAUGCACCGAAAACCCAAGGGUUCUUCCGCAAGGUUCGUCCAUGGAGGGUGAGUCAGGGCCUAAGAUCAGGCCGAAAGGCGUAGCCGAUGGACAACAGGUGAAUAUUCUUGUACUACCCCUUAUUGGUCCCGAGGGACGGAGGAGGCUAGGUUAGCGUAUAAAUUAUCAUUUCAAUGAUCCACUUCUCCCAUAAUGAUAUCUAUGCUACCUAGUAUCGUCAUAAUAUCAGCCAAUUUGCAUCUCCAAGGAAAACCGCUUUGAUCCCCUAUCAGAAAGAUUUCUAAUUCUCCCUUUAGGGCUUCCAUUCUCGCAUAAAGUUCUUGUCUCGGUAAUUCAAAUGUGGGAGAAAGUUUCCUGAAUCAGUCUAUU